rnacentral:lncRNA from 1 species
AUGUUAAAGUAUACAUUAUGACUAUGGAGGUUAAAGUGCAGACUGUCAGCUUUCAUUAGAGUGUAUUUUCAUUCAUAUCGGGUAAACCGUUUAGAAAGUACAGCACUUUCUGUACCUAGUCCCCCCCAAUGACUACUUUAAUACACAUAUAAGUGAAUUUCUCCCAGUACUUUUGGUCCCCUAAAAUGGGUGGGAGGAUUAUGUAAAAAAAAUAAAAUGCUUUAAUUUCUAAACAGUUCACCUGAUAUGGAUAGAAUAAAUACCCUCAAAUUAAUACUGACAGACAGCACUUUACCCUCAUAGUCAUUCUAUCAGAGCCAAAACAACAAAUGUGUCGCUGUCCCAAUACUUUUGGAGCUCGGUGAUGUACAUGCAGAUUCCAUGUACGUGAAACGUAGAACUAAUAGUAGUAUAUGAAUUGAAUACUAGAUAAUUCUCUUCCCGACAAGUCUUGGAUUUGAUUUCCUCUCCAACAUGACGACACGGUCUGAAGUUUCCUGUUUAUGUGAAUGGAAAAGCUUCUCUCACCAAAGGCUCCAUCUGAAAUCUACCCGGCGACGUAGACACUGAGUGGACAAAACAUUAGGAACACCUUCCUAAUAUUCACUUGCACCCCCCCCCUCCUUUUGCCCUCAGAACAGCCUCAAUUCAUUCAUCAGGGGGUAUGGGACUCUACGAGGUGUCGAAAGCGUUCCCACAGGGAUGCUGGCCCCAUGUAGACUCUCAGAGCCCUAUUCCCUAUAUAGUGGUACUACUAUAGACCUGAGCCCUAUUCCCUAUAUAGUGGUACUACUAUAGACCAGAGCCCUAUUCCCUAUAUAUGGUACUACUAUAGACCAGAGCCCUAUUCCCUAUAUAGUGCACUACUAUAGACCCAGAGCCCUAUUCCCUAUAUAGUGGUACUACUAUAGACCAGAGCCCUAUUCCCUAUGUAGUGCACUACUAUAGACCAGAGCCCUAUUCCCUAUAUAGUGCACUUCUAUAGACCAGAGCCCUAUUCCCUAUAUAGUGGUACUACUAUAGACCCAGAGCCCUAUUCCCUAUAUAGUGCACUACUUUUGACCUGAGCCCCCAUAAGGAAUAAGGGGUCAUUCAUUCGUUCAUUCGCCUGUCUUAUCAUUGUUUCUUCAUGUCAAUAACAGUUUUGUUUUUAACGUUUCUCAUCAAGACAGCGAGUGAUUGUGUUAGCUGUGUCUGUGCAGAAUAAAACUGUAUGGGAGGGGUGGCUGUCUCUGUUAUAAAGCUACUUUAUGUAUAGUUAACAUAUAUACAUACUUAGUGCCUUCGGACAGUAUCCCCCCCCCCCUCUCCUUGACUUAAUCUACAUUUUGUUUUAAAGAAAUUGAAAUGGAUUUGAAAUGUGUUAUUUUAUUUUUUUUGGGGUCACACUACCCCACAAUCAUAAUGUCAAAGUGGAAUUGUGUUUUAAAAAAUGUUUACGAAUGAAUAAAAAUUAAAAAAAGGGAAAAGCUGAAAUGUCUUGAGUCAAUUAAGUUUUCAACUCCUUUGUUAUGUCAAACCUGCAUAAGUUCAGGAGUGAAAAUGUGCUUAACAAGUCAUA